rnacentral:rRNA from 1 species
GACGAACGCUGGCGGCGUGCCUAAUACAUGCAAGUAGAACGCUGAAGGAGGAGCUUGCUCUUCUGGAUGAGUUGCGAACGGGUGAGUAACGCGUAGGUAACCUGCCUGGUAGCGGGGGAUAACUAUUGGAAACGAUAGCUAAUACCGCAUAACAACAGUUGUUGCAUGACAGCUGUUUAAAAGAUGCAAUUGCAUCACUACCAGAUGGACCUGCGUUGUAUUAGCUAGUUGGUGAGGUAACGGCUCACCAAGGCAACGAUACAUAGCCGACCUGAGAGGGUGAUCGGCCACACUGGGACUGAGACACGGCCCAGACUCCUACGGGAGGCAGCAGUAGGGAAUCUUCGGCAAUGGACGGUAGUCUGACCGAGCAACGCCGCGUGAGUGAAGAAGGUUUUCGGAUCGUAAAGCUCUGUUGUAAGAGAAGAACGAGUGUGAGAGUGGAAAGUUCACACUGUGACGGUAUCUUACCAGAAAGGGACGGCUAACUACGUGCCAGCAGCCGCGGUAAUACGUAGGUCCCGAGCGUUGUCCGGAUUUAUUGGGCGUAAAGCGAGCGCAGGCGGUUAGAUAAGUCUGAAGUUAAAGGCUGUGGCUUAACCAUAGUACGCUUUGGAAACUGUUUAACUUGAGUGCAAGAGGGGAGAGUGGAAUUCCAUGUGUAGCGGUGAAAUGCGUAGAUAUAUGGAGGAACACCGGUGGCGAAAGCGGCUCUCUGGCUUGUAACUGACGCUGAGGCUCGAAAGCGUGGGGAGCAAACAGG